GGAAGGGUGCAAGAGUGGUUUAAUUGGCGGUCCUGGAAAGACCGUGUAUCGAAAGGUACCGUGGGUUCGAAUCCCACCCCUUCCG
rfam:Candidatus Nealsonbacteria bacterium RIFCSPLOWO2_01_FTLL_43_32 rifcsplowo2_01_scaffold_8073, whole genome shotgun sequence.